AUUGAACGCUGGCGGCAGGCCUAACACAUGCAAGUCGAACGAGCGGCGGACGGGUGAGUAAUGUCUGGGAAUCUGCCCGAUGGAGGGGGAUAACUACUGGAAACGGUAGCUAAUACCGCAUACCAUCGGAUGUGCCCAUAUGGGAUUAGCUAGUAGGUGGGGUAACGGCUCACCUAGGCGACGAUCCCUAGCUGGUCUGAGAGGAUGACCAGCCACAAUGGGAAUGCGACACGGGCCAGACUCCUACGGGAGGCAGCAGUGGGGAAUAUUGCACAAUGGGGGCAAGCCUGAUGCAGCCAUGCCGCGUGGAUGAAGAAGGCCUUAGGGUUGUAAAGUACUUUCAGCGGGGAGGCGUUACUCGCAGAAGAAGCACCGGCUAACUCCGUGCCAGCCGCCGCGGUAAUUC
rnacentral:rRNA from 1 species